rnacentral:rRNA from 1 species
AGAUUCCCCGAGUAGUGGCGAGCGAAAAGGGAUCAGCCCAGAACUACAAUCAAUAUAAAUUACAGUAGAAUGAUUUGGAAAAUUCAGCGAUACAAGGUGAUAGCCCAGUAUACGAAAUAAUUUUUAUUGUGAGUUCGAAAAGUAGAACGGGACACGAGAAAUCCUGUUUGAAUAUGGGGGGACCAUCCUCCAAGGCUAAAUACUCCUGACUGACCGAUAGUGAACUAGUACCGUAAGGGAAAGGCGAAAAGAACCCCGGCGAGGGGAGUGAAAUAGAACCUGAACCCGUGUACGUACAAGCAGUGGAAGCAUAUUUUAAAAAUAAAUUUGUGACUGCGUACCUUUUGUAUAAUGGGUCAGCGACUUGUACUCUGUAGCAAGGUUAACUGAAUAAGGGAGCCGAAGGGAAACCGAGUCCUAAAUAGGCGUUAAGUUUCAGGGUACAGACCCGAAACCCGGUGAUCUAGCCACGGGCAGGUUGAAGGUUAGGUAAAACUAACUGGAGGACCGAACCGACUGAUGUUGAAAAAUCAGCGGAUGACCUAUGGCUAGGGGUGAAAGGCCAAUCAAACCGGGAGAUAGCUGGUUCUCCCCGAAAGCUAUUUAGGUAGCGCCUCGUGAAUUCAUCUAUGGGGGUAGAGCACUGUUUCGGUUAGGGGGCCAUCCCGGCUUACCAAUCCGAUGCAAACUCCGAAUACCAUAGAAUGCUAUCACGGGAGACACACAGCGGGUGCUAACGUUCGUUGUGGAAAGGGAAACAACCCAGACCGCCAGCUAAGGUCCCAAAAUCAUAGUUAAGUGGGAAACGAUGUGGGAAGGCAUAAACAGCCAGGAUGUUGGCUUAGAAGCAGCCAUCAUUUAAAGAAAGCGUAAUAGCUCACUGGUCAAGUCGGCCUGCGCGGAAGAUGUAACGGGGCUCAAACUAUGUACCGAAGCUGCGGCAGCAUAAACAAAAUUUAUUGCUGGGUAGGGGAGCGUUCUGUAAGCCUGAGAAGAUAUAUUGUAAAAUAUGUUGGAGGUAUCAGAAGUGCGAAUGCUGACAUGAGUAACGAUAAAGCAGGUGAAAAACCUGCUCGCCGAAAAACUAAGGUUUCCUGUCCAACGUUAAUCGGGGCAGGGUGAGCCGACCCCUAAGGCGAGGCUGAAAAGCGUAGUCGAUGGAUAACAGGUUAAUAUUCCUGUGCUUAAUAUUACUGCGAAGUGGGGACGAAGAAGGUUAGAUUAUCCAGGCGACGGUUGUCCUGGUUUAAAUGUGUAGGUAUGAUAAUUAGGAAAAUCCGAUUAUCUUUAAUCUGAGGCAUGAUGACGAAUCACUAAGGUGAUGAAGUAAUUAAUACCACGCUUCCAAGAAAAGCCUCUAAGCAUCAAGUAAAAUUAAAUCGUACCAUAAACCGACACAGGUAGUUAAGUAGAGAAUACUAAGGCGCUUGAGAGAACCCAGGUGAAGGAACUAGGCAAAAUAGUGCCGUAACUUCGGGAGAAGGCACGCUAGUACUAAGCGAAAGGAUUUACUCCUCUAACUGAAACUAGUCGAAGAUAACAGCUGGCUGCAACUGUUUAUUAAAAACACAGCACUGUGCAAACACGAAAGUGGAAGUAUACGGUGUGACGCCUGCCCGGUGCCGGAAGGUUAAUCGAAAGAGUCAAAGGAAACUUAAAGCUCUAGACUGAAGCCCCGGUAAACGGCGGCCGUAACUAUAACGGUCCUAAGGUAGCGAAAUUCCUUGUCGGGUAAGUUCCGACCUGCACGAAUGGCGUAAUGAUGGCCAGGCUGUCUCCACCUGGGACUCAGUGAAAUUGAAUUUGCUGUGAAGAUGCAGUAUACCCGCGGCAAGACGGAAAGACCCCGUGAACCUUUACUAUAGCUUGACACUGAAUUCUAAAUUUUGAUGUGUAGGAUAGGUGGGAGGCAAUGAAAUUAAAACGCCAGUUUUAAUGGGGCCAAACUUGAAAUACCACCCUUUAAAAUUCGGUGUUCUAACCUAGUGCCGUAAUCCGGUACAGAGACAGUGUCUGGUGGGUAGUUUGACUGGGGCGGUCUCCUCCCAAAGAGUAACGGAGGAGCACGAAGAUUGGCUAAUCACGGUCGGAAAUCGUGAGUUUAGUGCAAAGGCAUAAGCCAGUUUAACUGUGAGCGUGAUAACGCGAGCAGAUGCGAAAGCAGGUCUUAGUGAUCCGGUGGUUCUGUAUGGAAGGGCCAUCGCUCAACGGAUAAAAGGUACUCCGGGGAUAACAGGCUGAUACCGCCCAAGAGUUCAUAUCGACGGCGGUGUUUGGCACCUCGAUGUCGGCUCAUCACAUCCUGGGGCUGAAGCAGGUCCCAAGGGUAUGGCUGUU